rnacentral:rRNA from 1 species
CAAUAGCGUAUAUUAAAGUUGUUGCAGUUAAAAAGCUCGUAGUUGGAUUUCUGGUACGUUGCGCCUGGUCCGCCCCUUUACGGUGUGUGAGUACCGGCGCGCAGCUGCCAUCCUUCCUGAGAGCCCGCUACCCUUCACUGGGCCGGCGUGGCGAUCUGGAUCGUUUACUUUGAAAAAAUUAGAGUGUUUCAAGCAGGCAUAGUCGCUUUGAAUACAUUAGCAUGGAAUAAUAAGAUAGGACUUGGGUUCUAUUUUGUUGGUUUCUAGGACCGAAGUAAUGAUUGAUAGGGAUAGUUGGGGGUGCUAGUAUUGAGCGGCCAGAGGUGAAAUUCUUGGAUUCGCUCAAGACUAACUAAUGCGAAAGCAUUCACCAAGGAUGUCUNCUUUAA